rnacentral:lncRNA from 1 species
CUGCCGCGCGGCGGGCGGGCGGCUGCCAGCGGCCCGGGCUCUCCCCGCCCCCGUCUCCUCCCCUCCGCCGCCGAUCCUCCGCCCCUCUGCCUUCUCCUCGCGGCGGCGGCGGCGGCGUUCUCGGCCCCGGCUCCUCGCGCUGCUCCGCGGCUUCGCCCCGCUCCUCUCCGGGGCUCCCGCGCCGCGCUGGCCAGGACGGCAUUGCUGCAGGGAGCCUCUGGGAGUUCCAGGGUGAAGAGAUCUGCCUUCAUCUGGAGACCUCUGCUAAAGGUGAAGACCUCCUACAGGGCCAGACAGCCUUAGCAGGACUUCAGAAGUCUUACACCAAGGUCAUUUCACACUUCUCCGAGAAUUUCAAACCCAGCCAUUUUAUUGUGAUUCUGGUGAACAAUAUCUGAAGUUGAUGAAGGGGAAAAAAGAGGACCACAAAGCUUGCUGUGAUACUGAGGGAGGUCAGUGAAUGAGAAUUACAUCUCCAUGUAUAGCUCUAUACAGUUGCACUCCAGAGGCUACAAGAAAGUCUCUUUACCAUGAAGUCAUACCCAGGGAGCUCUGUCCUUCUUAAGUCUUAGAAUUUUAUUCAGUUUACACAAACUUUUGUAAACAGCAGAUCACCAUUUGCUCAGAUCUUCCACCCUCACCCCUAGUAACUGAACUGGCUAGGUGUUCCUGUUGUUUCUUUGGUGGAUACAUGUUCAGAGAUAACGACAUGUUCAACUGUAUUAAAUACCAGAGAUACACCAUCAAAAUACAAGCUAUGUGAUCUUACUACUUCUCUGAAAGAGCCAUAAAACCUAAAAACAACCAAAUCCUGGCCCUUGUAAAAUUUUUAUAAGAAAGAUUAAACUUAAAUUUAUGAAGAAGGAUAUUCCAAAAACAUGUAGUAUAU